AGCCCAUGGUGAGGGCAUCUUCUCAAGAGGUCCUUGUAUUUCUCCUAUGCAUCAUAGAGUGUCUCUAGAUCCAUCUGCACAAAAGAAGAGAUAUCAUUCCUCAAUUU
rnacentral:snoRNA from 1 species